rnacentral:tRNA from 2 species
CGCGGGGUGGAGCAGUCUGGUAGCUCGUCGGGCUCAUAACCCGGAGGCCGCAGGUUCAAGUCCUGUCCCCGCUACCA